AUUAAUUUAUGGGCAUCGAGUCUAAAAUAUCGACUUUCUUUUAUUGGUAUCCAAAACAAACUUUAUAACGAAUACCAAUUCUUUUCUGUUUUGACAUCAAAGCAUGCUCCUUCGAUGAUAAACAAAAGUUAACACAAUUUUAGAAAUAGAUCUAGACUGGAUAGACCUAGACUGCUAGAUCUAAUUGAGAACAAGGGAUUUACGUCUAAUAAAAAUGAGUGAAACAACUGCAACUGUUGAUGAUAAAGUUUCAGGAACUGAUCUAGAUCUAGUUCAAGUAGUUGUAGACACUCGAACUCUAGAAGUAGAAGAGGCAGUAGGCGUAGCCGCAGUACCAGAUCUAGUUCUAGUAGAGAAUCAUGAGAAAGAGAAUGGAUUUGUUAAUCAAGUUGAUGCUGUCAAUGUUUUUAACUGUGUCAGUGUUAAUAACAGUAUUAACACUAACAGUGAAUUGAAUGAAACUGAAUCCAAUGUAUCUAUGACUAUGGGCGUUAGUGUUUCUAUGUUAAGUGAAGCGCAAACAGAAGAA